UUAAAAAGCUCGUAGUCGGAUUUUGGCUGAGAACGGUCGGUCCGCCGUUAGGUGUGCACUGACUGGUCUCAGCUUCCUGGUGAGGAGGUGCGCUUCAUCGCCACUUAGUCACCGUGGUUACUUUGAAAAAAUUAGAGUGUUCAAAGCGGGCUUACGCUUGAAUAUAUUAGCAUGGAAUAACACCAUAGGACUCCUGUCCUAUUUCGUUGGUCUCGGGACGGGAGUAAUGAUUAAGAGGAACAGUUGGGGGCAUUCGUAUUUCAUUGUCAGAGGUGAAAUUCUUGGAUUUAUGAAAGACGAACUUCUGCGAAAGCAUUUGCCAAGGAUGUUUUCAUUGAUCAAGAACGAAAGUUGGGGGCUCGAAGAUGAUUAGAUACCAUCCUAGUCUCAACCAUAAACGAUGCCGACUAGGGAUUGGCGGAUGUUAAUUGAUGACUUCGCCAGCACCUUAUGAGAAAUCAAAGUUUUUGGGUUCCGGGGGGAGUAUGGUCGCAGGGCUGAAACUUAAAGGAAUUGACGGA
rnacentral:rRNA from 1 species